GACGAACGCUGGCGGCGUGCUUAACACAUGCAAGUCGAACGGAAAGGCCUGCUUUCCCUUGUGGAUUGCGGGUGCUCGAGUGGCGAACGGGUGAGUAACACGUGAGUGAUCUGCCCCCAACUUGGGUAUAAGCCUGGGAAACUGGGUCUAAUUCCCGAUAGGACUGCAGGGUGGUGCCUGUGGUGGAAAACGAUUUUCUAGUGGUUGGGGAUGAGCUCGCGGCCUAUCAGCUUGUUGGUGGGGUAAUGGCCUACCAAGGCGGCGACGGGUAGCCGGCCUGAGAGGGUGGACGGCCACAUUGGGACUGAGCUACGGCCCAGACUCCUACGGGAGGCAGCAGUGGGGAAUAUUGCACAAUGGGCGGAAGCCUGAUGCAGCGACGCCGCGUGGGGGAUGACGGCCUUCGGGUUGUAAACUCCUUUCGACCGCGAGGAAGCCACCUGGUUGGAAGGGUGGUGACGGUAGUGGUAGAAGAAGCACCGGCUAACUACGUG
rnacentral:rRNA from 1 species